GUAUUUUUUAAAUUAUAAAACUUACUAUAUAUUUAAUGUAAAACUUAAUAGAAAGUCAUAUAGUUAAGCAUUAUUUCAAAAAAGGAAAAAAACCAUAUAGAGUAAUACUAAUUAAAGUCCAUAUUACUCUUAAAAUAGAGUUGUACCAAAAUAUCUAACUUUAAUUUUUAUCCACCUUUUCAGGGGGAUGGUCAGAGUGAAAUCAAUUCUAAUAACUUCAGAGGUUAAAAAAAAAAAAGAAACGAACAGGUCUCCGUAUUCAACACUCUGGAUCCACUUAAUUGUGCAUAUGCAAUGCCCAUCAGAGAUGCAUAUAUUGAUGGGUUGGAUGUGUGGGCUAUCCACUCAACUGCUUAUCGUGGUCCAAACAAUACGUAAUUUUUUCCUCCACUUGGUGUGGGUGUGUGUGUGUUGUUAGGCCAAACUUAGGAGUUGUUAUUAUUGAUCUCAUGUAGGAGGCUCAGUAAUGUUCUGAAGUGUGAACCAGUUAGGAUAAUAUCAUCUAAAAACAAACAUUUGGAGGACCUCACCAUCCAUAGAAAAUCCCUCUUUGAUUUAGUUUUUGUACUGGUUAUCAUUCAUGAGAGUGGCAAAUAUUGCUCUUUUGCAUUACCUUUUAUUUACUGCCAUUUAAUACCAUAGUAUUACAAAUACCAUUUCUGUAUCUUAUGUCUAAAUACUUUUAAUCAGAUGGUCUUUAAAGAAAGUUUUUAAGUAAUUGUUUAUAUUUUUAACAAAAAGAUGUAAAAGCUUGUUGGGGGACAUCCUUUUGCUUUACUGAAUUAAACACUUUAAUUGACA